rnacentral:lncRNA from 1 species
UUACAUUCAGGAGUCUCUUGCUAUUUAUAAACCUUCUAUUAUCCUAAAGUCUUUUGUAACUAUUUACAAACAUGACUUAUACUGUCAAUAUCCUAUACCCAGAUAGUAGUAUUAUCAAUAGAAAAACUUCAAGAAGUUAUCAUAUAACUAUCUUGAUCAGUAAUCAUUUGUUGAUUUCUCUUUUAAGCCUAUUUGGAUUAG